rnacentral:rRNA from 1 species
AGGUGCGGUCAUACAAGCACGAAUGCACUCGAUCCCAUCAGAACUCCGUAGUUAAGCGUGCUUGGGCUAGAGUUGUACUAAGAUGGGUGACCUCUUGGGAAGUCCUCAUGUUGCACCCC